UACAGAGGGGGCAAGCGUUGUUCGGAAUUACUGGGCGUAAAGGGCGCGUAGGCGGCCUGUUAAGUCGGAUGUGAAAUCCCCAGGCUCAACCUGGGAACUGCAUCCGAUACUGGAUGGCUUGAAUUCGGGAGAGGGAUGCAGAAUUCCAGGUGUAGCGGUGAAAUGCGUAGAUAUCUGGAGGAAUACCGGUGGCGAAGGCGGCAUCCUGGACCGACAUUGACGCUGAGGAGCAAAAGCCAGGGGAGCAAACGGG
rnacentral:rRNA from 1 species